rnacentral:rRNA from 1 species
UUCAGAGACGGCGAGCGUUGUUCGGAUUCAUUGGGCGUAAAGGGUGCGCAGGCGGCCCGGCAAGUCGGAUGUGAAAUCUCACAGCCUAACUGUGAGCGGUCAUUCGAAACUGCCGGGCUCGAGGACUGGAGAGGAGACUGGAAUUGUCGGUGUAGCGGUGAAAUGCGUAGAGAUCGACAAGAACACCGGUGGCGAAGGCGGGUCUCUGGACAGUUCCUGACGCUCAGGCACGAAAGCCAGGGGAG